UUUUUUUUUUUAGGUUUAAUGCAAAUGGAGAUUUUUUGGAGAGAAGAAAUGGAUAUAAAUGGAGAAUAUUAAAGACUUACUUUUCAACUAUGUGUUAAUUUCAAGAAUUAUAUAAUGUUUUUAAUUAUGUAGUGGUUCAAAGACUUAUGUAAUAUUUUUAAUUAUGUAGUGAUUCAAUUCGAGUAAUUCAGGUAAUUCGGGUAAUUCGGGUAAUUCGGUUAAUUUCGAUUAAUUUUUAACCAAAAAUAAAAACCAUACAAUUUUUGGUUAAUUCGGUUAACCGACCUAAUUAACCGAAAAAAUUUCGGUUCGGUUAAUUUUUUAAAAAAAAUUCGGUUCAGUUAACGGUUAAAAAUUUUGGAAGGUUGAUUAAUUCGGUUAUAACUAUUUCAGGUCGGUUAACCGAAUGCACACCUCUAAGCAUGAUAUUAAUGAGAAUUUUUAUAUUUAAAUUUCUAGAAAAAAAAUAGUUAAAACUGAUAUAUAGGGAGGGAUAUCAACAAGCGAUUAUAAUCAAGACUUUCUAAAUUUGUAAAGGAGAAGUCACGAGCUAAAAUACUAUCGCGGCAAAACGAUGCGUUUUGGGGGAACUGAUUAAUGAAAUGAUGCGCAGAAGGAGUUAUUUAAGCGGAGUGUUUUGGUUUAAUUCAUGUUGUUUAGUUUACCAUUUAUUUUAACCAACUUUUAAAGCUUUAUUUUCUUUUUGUUUCCUUUCCUAUAAAUAUAGUGUAAAUGACCAAAGGCAAUUAUUAAAAAUUGAAUACCAACAAUUCAAAAUAAAAAUAAUAAAAUAAUAAGAGCUACUAAAUAAAAUAUUGGGUCAUAUAUAAUAAAAAUUAAACCUAAAACUCAAACCCAAUAUGAUUUAAACUCGAACUAAAAGCUCGAAACUCAUAAUUUCCGUAAUAAUCCCGUCCAGAAAUUAUGCUCGUGCAUUCAUCACUAAAACGGUCAUAACUUCAGUUCUCGAACUCUAAAUCGACUGAUUCAAACUGCAUUUAAAAGCAAAGACAUAGGUCUUCAAACACUAUGCAGGCAUAUUAAUCCAAAAAUGUCUGGACCCCAUCCAAAAAUUUGUCGCAAGUUGACUAAUCUUUUUAAGUUGACAAUUGAUAGCUUGGUUCAAUUGACUUUAAUACAUGUCACCCAUUCCGUGCAUGUAUCAUUCCUCGUUUCCUCAAAAGAUUCAUCCACACAUACAAGCAUUGAUCGAAUCUUAGUUUGUUUUGUUUGACCUUUGACCUUGUUGUUAGGCCUUGAGGUACUGUAUGCCCAUUACAUCCAUGGCCCUAAAACUGGGCCUUGAAACUCUUAUCACAAUGUAAGAGAGCAUAUAAAAAGGGUGCACACCCUAACAAUACAAACGUGCGUAGGUGCAUCCACUGAAUCGCUAGAGAACACUCAAUUAUUUUUUUUAAUUUUGAGCGAUUCUUCAUAUCUCAAUAAAGGGAAUCCAUUAUGGUAUGCUUUGAAAUUGGGAUUUAGAAAAUCAUAGGCAUGUAGGAUGGUAUAGAUUAUAAAUGAGGAAUGUUUUUGGUUUUAUGUGAAACAUAAACAAGUGGAAUAAGAUAUUUAUACGAUUUAGUGUUAGGGUUUCGUUAAGGGUUUGAAGAGGACCUCAACACCCAUGGGUGGUGAGGUCAAUUUAAAUUUCAAAGGUCCUCUUUUUUAAAAAAAAUCAAUUACAUUUUACAUUUUACGUUUUUUAAAUUUUACAUGGACCUCUACACAUGUCGAGGUGUGUUUAAAUAUAUCCACAACAAUUACAAAAUGCAUAAACGAUUACAAUUUAAAAUUUUAACAAAUUAUAAGGACAAAUCUAGCUACUCAUUCCAUAAUUGUUAGCCUAGUUCUAGGCAAGGCAAGAUAAAUAAUAGAACUCGACACCCACUAGUUAAAAAAACAUGUUUUUAAAAUUAACAUCUCCUUGUACAUAUUUUGAUAUUUUUGUUCUAUAUCCAAAUAAGAAAAAAAACCAUCUUUUGCCUUUAGUUAAGAAAGAAAGAAAUAUAAAAUUUCUACGAUGAUAUAUUGCCUAACAUGAUUUACUCUCUUUCUUUGGCAACUUCUAAAGUUUAGAAGGAAUAUUUACUUCACAAUAUUUUAAGAAGAGUAGGAUAUCAAUGAGAAUUUUUAUAUUCAAAUUUCUAGAAAAAAAAGUUAAAACAGAUAUUUAGGGAGGGAUAUCAACAAGUGAUUAUAAUCAAGACUUUCUAAAUUUGUAAAGGAGAAGUCACGAGCUAAAAUACUAUCGCGGCAAAACGAUGUGUUUUGGGGGAACUAACUAAUGAAAUGAUGCGCGGAAGGAGUUAUUUAAACAGAGUGUUUUGGUUUAAUUCAUGUUGUUUAGUUUACCGUUUAUUUUAACCAACUUUUGAAGCUCUAUUUCCUUUUUGUUUCCUUACCUAUAAAUAUAGUGUAAAUGACCAAAGGCAGUUAUGAAAAAUUGAAUACCAACAACUCAGAAUUCUAUCUCCUUUUUUCCAGAUUCUCUGUCUUUUUCCUUCGUCCUUUCUCUUCUCUAUUAACAAUCGUACCAAAAGUAUCAAAGCUCAGCAAUGGCCGAUGAUGGAGUGACAACAAGGCUACAAAACGACGUCAUCGUCCUCUAGUAGGAAAUGGGGAAGGUCCAAAAUGAACUCCCUCAACUGGAUUCUAUGUGGGAUGCCAAAAUAGAGGUUCGUUUUCAAAUGUUUAAGGAAGAGUUUCAGGUGGAAAUGCAUUACCUGUUUGAAAAAUACCUAGGUAACACAACCAUUUCUAACACUUCAACCACUACUCAAGCCAGGGGAAAUGGUGUCUUGGGAGGAACACCACCAGGUUUUCCUAUCAAAGACAGCUUGGCAGCCCUUCUAUAGAUUAUGGGAUAGUUGGACCCAAACCCACCAAGAACUGGGUUCCCUUAGGAGCAUAGCUAUAGGUUGGAGUGUCCUCAUUUCGAUGGCACUGAUUUUCGUUUUUGGUGGUUAAAGUUGGAGCAGUUCUUUGCUGCAGAGGGAGUACCUGAAGGUGACAAGGUUCAGACAGUGAUGCUCUACCUCGAAGGCCUUACCUUGUAUUGGCACCAUUUAUAUGCCUAAAAGCACUGUGGUCUCCCUUUUUUUGACUGGAUCUGCUAUGCUCACGGGCUGAGGGAAAGGUUUGGGACUAGAGUUUUUAAGGACACGUGGUUGAGUUGGUGACUCUGAAACAACUAGGAACAGUGGAGCACUAUCACAACCAGUUUGUAAGCCUUCUGAACUAACUAUAGUUAACCAAAUCUUAUGCCAUCAGCAUAUAUAUUAGUAAUCUUAAGACAGACAUAGGCAAGUAUCUGCAGUUGUUUAGGAAAGGAUUCCUAACUGGAACUCACCAAGUCACCAGGUUUAGCCCAAAUCAACCUACUAUUGUGUCCACCCGAUCACCUCUUUCUAUCCAGUUGAGCUCCUCUGUACAUCCAGUCCAGUAGGAUCUAUAGCAUCUAAAGCACCCUCCAAUGAGGUCAGUUCUGCACUUAUGGCAGAGGAAACAAAAGGGGCUUUGUUUCUAGUGUGGGGCCAAAUAUCAUGUUGGCCAUAAAUGUGUAAAGAGCCAGCUCUACCAAAUGUUGUUGGAUUCUCCUAGUAAAGAAGAUAUUGAAGAGUUUCAAGAAUGUUCAGAUAAGUUGGAGGAUCUUCCUGCUGAAGAAGCACCAAGUCCAAUGUUAUCAUUGCAUGCAAUAAAAGGAUCUUAAGGUCCCUAUACCAUGAGGUUUGUGGAAAAAUCAGGGUAGCUAAUGUUAUAUUUUUUGUGGAUUCAGGGAGUACACAAUUUUCUAGAUUCUAAGCUGGUGUCCAGGUUGUCCUUACUUGUGGGGCAACAGCAACAGAUGAAGGUCACUAUAGUUGAUAAGAGACAUUUAUUAACUGCUGAUAUGUGUAGAGAGAUAGAAUGAGAGGUUCAAGGGUCCAGAUUUAUUGUUAACUUCAUGGUUUUAUCCCUCAAGAGAUGUGAUAUGGUCCUUGGGAUACAAUGGUUACUCUCCCUUGGGUCCAUUAAUCGGAAAUUUCGCUCCAUGACCAUGCAGUUCACUUUCAAGGGAACCCCUUGUACUAUCAAGGGCAUCUUACCAAGCAACAUCGAAAUGCUAAGUUAGGGACAAUCAGCCAAGUUUUUUUCCAUAGUGGAAAGGGAAUUGGACCCAUGUGCACUAGUUUUAACUAGUGUGGAGCAAGUGGCUCUCUCAACAGCCUCCACUCAGAUGGUAUUAGAGGAAUUGCAAAUACUUUUUAAUGAGUUCGAAGACAUUUUUCAAUCUGUUUCAGGGCUGCCCCCUGCACGACUACAAAACCAUGGGACUCCUCUCAAAGAUAAAGGGGUAGUGGUUAAAAUAAGACCAUACAUGUACCCUAUGAUUCAAAAAUUAGAACUGGAAAAGUUGGUUGGGGAAAUGUUUAAAGCUAGGAUAAUUAGGGACAGCUCUAGCCCUUUUACUUCUCCUGUGGUUAUGGUUAAGAAAAAAGAUAGAACAUGGAGGCUUUGUGUUGAUUACAAGCACCUUAACCAGCAAACAAUAAAAGACAGGUUCCCCAUUCCCAUCAUUGAAGAAUUGUUGGAUGAGCGCGGCCAAGCUCAAAUCUUUUCCAAGCUAGACUUGAAAUCUGGUUAUCACCAUAUUCGAAUGCAUGAAGCUGACAUUCCCAAGACAGCUUUUAAAAUGCAUGAGGGCUACUACGAGUUCUUGGUGAUGCCCUUUGGGCUCACCAAUUCCCCUUUUACCUUUCAAGGGCUGAUGAACACCAUCUUUAGACCAUUGUUGAGGAGAAUAGUAUUGGUCUUCUUUGAUGAUAUUCUUGUUUACUCACCCACCUGGUUAGAAUAUUUGGGCCAUCUAAAGGAGGUUUUUGAGCUGUUGAGACAACACUUGCUUUUUUAUAAAAAAAGUAAAUGCUCAUUUGUAAUAGAUCAAGUAGAGUACUUCGGGCAUAUAAUCUCCAAGGGGACUAUCUCUAUGGACAAAACUAAGCUAGAAAGUGUAGCAGCUUGGGCUAUCCCUUCUUCCAUCAAGGAGUUGAGAGGCUUCUUAGGGCUCUUGGGUUACUAUAGAAGGUUCAUAAGAAAUUAUGGUGUUAUUGCAAGGCCACUUACCAAUUUUCUUAACAAAAAUGCUUAGGGGUAGUGUGAGCAGGCCACUGUUGCCUUUCAGCAAUUGAAGCAAGCUUUAUGCUCAGCAUCUGUCUUAGCUCUACCUGAUUUCAGCUUGGAGUUCUGUGUGGAUACGAAUACCUUAGGUUAUGGGGUGGGGGCAGUCCUUCAGCAACAAGGUAAGGUCGUGACAUACUUCAGCGAGGGACUGGGAAUAAGGCAUCAAGCCCUUUCCAUAUAUGAGAAAGAAUGUUGGUUGUGCUUCUAACUAUGAGGAAAUGGUAUUCUUAUCUAUGGGCAGACACUUUAAAAUUCGAACUAACCACCAAAGUUUAAGGUUUCUAGCUGAUCAAAUGGCAGUUACUCCUUUCCAGCAAAAGUGGGUAGCAAAGAUGCUUGGGUAUGACUAUGAAAUGAUCUAUAGAAAGGGGUCUGGUAACUUGGCUGCUGAUGCACUGUCAAGGAAUCAAGCACUGAAAAAAGGGUAAUAUUUGCAACUCACUAGAAGCACUAUCUGUUUCAAUUUAUUGGCUCGAGUGCAAGAAUCAUAUUUGGUGGACACUAAAGCUCAGAGGUUAUGUUUAGAGGUAUAACAGUAAGGUUCUAAACAUCCAAAAUACUCUUGGGAUAGUAGGUUCCUCAAAAAAAAAAGGGAAGACUAUGGUGGGAAAUGUUUCAGCUCUUUUGAUAGCACUCUAGGGGGACAUUCAGGGGUAAAUGCAACUAAGAAGAGACUGACAAGCCUUGUAUACUGGAAAAACCUUACCACUGAUGUCAAGAGAUGGGUAAGAGAAUGUUAGAUAUGACAAAAAUGCAAGUCAGAAACAGUAGGACCCCCGGGCCUUUUACAACCACUCCCAAUUCCAGAAAGAGCUUGGUCCUCCAUCUCCAUGAACUUCAUCGAGGGCCUUCCAAACUCUGAAGGUAAGAAUGUCAUCUUUGUGGUGGUUGACCGCUUCACUAAGUAUGCUCAUUUUGUAGCCAUGGCAGACCCCUUCACUGCUAUAGUUGUGGCUCAAGAGUUCAUGGGUAAUGUGUAUAGGCUGCAUAGGAUGCCAGAUUCUCUAAUUUCUAAUAGAGGUAAGGUCUUUGUCAGUACCUUUUGGCAAGAUCUCUUAAAGAGGAUGGGUACCAAGGUUUAACUAUCCAAAGCAUAUCACCCAGAGACAAAUGGGAAAAUUGAAGUAGUGAACAAGUGUCUUGAGGGAUACUUGAGGUGUAUGACAAGAGAGAGGCCACAAGACUCGCAAAAGUGGCUUCUUUUGUCUGAGUGGUGGUACAACACCACCUUCUAUUCAACUAUCUAAGUCACCCCAUAUGAAGCAUUAUACGGGCAAACCCCUCCCUUACAUAUGCCUUACCUAGCUGGAGCAUCCAUGGUAGCUAUUGUGGACAGAAAACUAAAACAAAGAGAGGCUACAAGAAGAUUGCUACAAUUUCAUUUGAAAAUAUCCCAAGAUAGGAUGAAGCAGCAAGCAGAUAAGCACAGAACUUAAAGACACUUCGACGUUACUUAAAGCUCCAACUUUAUAGGCAACACACAGUGAGAAGGAUCUUGAAUCAGAAACUGGCACCUAAGUUUUUCUGGUCCUUUCGAGUAGAAAGUAAAGUUGAGAAAGUGGCCUAUAAAAUCCAGCUUCCCCAAGGGUCUCGUGUGCAUCCCACCUUCCACGUGUAACAGUUGAAAAAGCAUGUGGGUGCAGCUCUUGUUCAAGCACAACUGCCAGUGAUCGAUGAGUAAGCAACUGGGCAAAAAAACUUGCUAGGAUCUUAGAAAUGAGGAUAAUGAAUCAGGGAAAUGUUGUUGUCACCAAGGUCUUGGUAGAAUGGGCACACUCAUUUCCAAAAGAUGCCACAUGAGAGCCCUUGCUACAACUCAAGAAGAAAUUCCCACACAUUGAUCCUUGAGGUCGAGGAUCCUUCCAGCAAGGGGUAUUUGUCACGCGCUAAAAUACUACCACGGGAAAAUGAUACAUUUUGGGGGAACUGAUUAAAUAAACGAUCACAAAAUGAGUUAUUUAAACAGAGCGUUUUGGUUUAAUUAAUGUUGUUUAGUUUACCUUUUAUUUUAACCAACUUUUAAAGCUUUAUUUCCUUUUUCUUUCCUUUCCUAUAAAUAUGGUGUAAAUGACCAAAGACAGUUGAGAAAGCAUUGUAUAAAAUUAUGAUUCCACGUCAUCCUUAUCCCUUUCUAAUGGGAGGAUGACAAAUUAGAUUUUUCCUCGUGAGUUUUACCAUUUUUAGUUGGAUUUAAAUUUUUUUCAGGAGGAAAAAGCUGAAAAUUAGGAGGAAAAUCUGAUUUGUCAUCCUCCCAUUGGAAAGGGAUAAGAAUGACGUGGAAUCACAGUUUCAUACAAUCCCUUCUCAAGGUAGUUAUGAAAAAUUGAAUACCAACAAUUCAAAAUUCUCUCUCCUAUCUUCCAAAUUCUCUGUCUUUUUCCUUCAUCCUUUCUCUUCUUUGUUAACAAUCGUACCAAGAGAAUGAUACACAAUUAAGCAGAAUAGAAAUAUAUUUAGCAGAAUUUUCUGUUUGCCUAGUCUUUGAAAGGAAAACUGCCAUUGAUUUAUUGGAAGAUUACUCUCAAUUUUUUCUCCAAAUUUAGAAGAGAUAAAAUGAAUUAACAUCCACCCCCAAUUUGAAAAAUAUUGUUGGCUAUAAUUUGAAAGUUCGGCAGUUUUGUUUCACAAAACCGUUUCAAAAGAAUAAAAAUAUUGUUAGGAUUUUAAAUGUGACUAACACAAGCAUUGUGGAUUUUGAUUUUAUAGUUUUACCCCACAAAGGUUCAAGUCUAGAGAUAUAUUAUUGUGAAGCUUUUACCUUUUGAGUGUUGAUCAAAUUAGAAAAGCAUUUACCUAAAUUCGAGAUUGAAUACCAAGCAGAGUCUAAACAUGUGAAGCAGGAGAAUAAAACAGCAACACAUGCAACCUUUUAGAUUUACAUAAAGAUACAGGGAAAAAGGAACUGUUUAAAAAACUACGUACAUAUUGAACCGAUAAUAGAUUUCUUAACUUACACUGGGCCUAUAAUAAUGCAACCAAACAUAAACUUGGUGGUCUCCGAUGGCCAUUGCUAGGAAAAAUGGAACCAGCAAGACCAAUCCCGUAAGGAGAUACCUCUCUCUUACGCAUUCACAUAACACAUCCUAAACUCACGACACCUAAUUAAAACUAUGUAGCAGCUCUACAAAUGUAAAAAAAUUCAUUGCGGAGGCUACUUGAGAUGGACUAGGAAACCCUAAAUGACAAAAAGAGGCUUGGACCUAUGAAAAUACAAAGAAAAUUACAUGAUAGUAGCUGCAAUUUAAGACUCAAGACAGUUCCCUGAUGGCUUCCCAAUCAAUUUCCACUGAAGAGUACUUUUCCAAACUGAAGGCCUCAUCAUCAUCCCACUUUGAAUCAAAGAAAUCCAAGAAAGUGAUAUCAGAUUCUGGCUAAGAAGAUCCAGCCAAUGAUUCAUCGGAUAAAUCCGGAGUUGUUGAUGAUGAUACCAAUGGAUUCUCCACUUUAGGGUCAGAGAACCUUGGAGACUGAUCAAACUCCUCACUCUUUACACAGUAAUCAAACUCCACCUUAGGUUUUGAAUUAAAAACAGAAGAGGUCUUUGCUGAAUUCUCUUGGUUCUACAAGCUCUGACAAACGGCCUGGAGCUUUGCACCAACAAAGGAAUAGAGAAGCUUGAAGCCACCAAAUUUCCCGGAAACAUGAGCUCCUUGAUGCUUGAGGUGGGGGAAGUUGAGCCUGGCAAAGUCUCCUCUAAGCAUGUAAGCAGCCUUGUCAUAAGCCAAAGCUGCUUCUUCAGCUGUAUCGAAAGUGCCAAGCCAAAGUCGGGUUCGGUUCUUGGGAAGUCUGAUUUCAGCAACUCAUUUGCCCCAAUUCCUCUGUCGCACUCCCCUGUAGAGUUUUGCAGGCUUUGGAGGAGUUGAGGAGACAUGUUUCAUAGGGACAGCCUUCGGGGAAAGAAAGUUGAGCCUCUGGUUUAGAUAUUGAAGGGAUGUUGUUGCAAUCAUAGAAUCAAGCUGCUGCUGUUGAUAAAUUUGAGCUUGAAAGCGCAAUUGAAGUUGAACCUGUAUGCUCAAAACCCAUCAGAUUGUUAUAGUUGAAGAACUCAUGGUUAGGAAACAAGUGGUUGCUCGAUGAUGGGGAGCAAAAUUCAGGAUCCAUGUAAGGCUGAGAAGGUGUCAGUUGAGAAUAUGAGCAAGAUGAAGAAGAAGAAGAAGAAGAAGAAGAUAAAGGAAAGGUAGAUGAAGAACUUUUCAUGAAAGGCUCAAGUGCUUUCAUUAACUCUUCCCUACAGGAAUCUCAGAAAACUGAGUUGCUGCUGCUAUUAUACAUAUCAAUAGCUGCUGCCAUAUCCAAAAACUAGUUAAAAGCAAAGCUGCUUCUUAAUCAAAACUAAAAGAAUAGGAAAUAGUUUCUGAUAAAAACCAAACUUGAGGGACCAAAAACAAACCCUCUUAGCUGAUGAAAAUAAAGCUUAAAAACUAUUUACUUAAUGAAAUAAAAUAAAAUAAAAAACUGAAACCUGGAUCUCAAUUCUGAAUCACCUUGCUUUUAAAAACCAACCUGGUAGCCUUGUUUAAGCUUUGUUUUUAACACAAAUUAUUUCAGCUUGAAAGACAGGCGAUGACAGAAAGGGAUUCAGAGAAGCGGUGAAUUGCAGAAAAUGAAGGGGAAUUAUAAACAUCAAACACUGUUGAAAAAUCUGAAAACUCUCAAUUUCUAUUUUGGGUGGCCUCACUUUCGAGUUUACUCCCUUGCAUUUCCAGGAUCACCUUAUCUCUUCUUAUAUAAAAUUCUCUGCUCUACUCUACCCCAUGUGCUUCCCUUACAAAUCGUAUAGAUUUUUAGCAAUUUUUAAUUAAUUUUCAAUAAUCA
rnacentral:lncRNA from 1 species